rnacentral:rRNA from 1 species
UCCAGACUCCUACGGGAGGCAGCAGUGAGGAAUAUUGGUCAAUGGGCGGGAGCCUGAACCAGCCAAGUCGCGUGAGGGAAGACGGUCCUACGGAUUGUAAACCUCUUUUGCCGGGGAGCAACGGGGUCCUUGCGAGGGCCCAAUGAGAGUGCCCGGAGAAAAAGCAUCGGCUAACUCCGUGCCAGCAGCCGCGGUAAUACGUAGGUGGCAAGCGUUGUCCGGAUUUACUGGGUGUAAAGGGCGUGUAGCCGGGCCGGCAAGUCAGAUGUGGAAUCCCAAGGCUCAACCUUGGAACUGCAUUUGAAACUGUUGGUCUUGAGUAUCGGAGAGGCAGGCGGAAUUCCUAGUGUAGCGGUGAAAUGCGUAGAUAUUAGGAGGAACACCAGUGGCGAAGGCGGCCUGCUGGACGACAACUGACGGUGAGGCGCGAAAGCGUGGGGAGCAAACAGGAUUAGAUACCCCUGUA